rnacentral:ncRNA from 1 species
CAAGGGACUUAAACUAAUUUGAGCACCUAAGGCGAAAUCUUUAGGUGAAUGGAGUCUAAUUCGGUGAAACCUGUCAAAUGGCAACGCCGAGCUAAGCUCAAUUCAGUAACAGGCUAGGGGUUCCCCUUUCCCUUUCCCUUUCCCCUUUCCCCUUUCCCAUGGCCUUUUGCUGAGUUGAGAAAGUGUAGAGACCAUACGGCUCCUGCCUUAGUAAAUGCCUCUCUCCCCUGAAGGAAAUUUUAUAGGCAAAGACAGGGUCCAGACCACAAACACAUCUAUUA